rnacentral:lncRNA from 1 species
GCAAGUAGUUUUUUGCUCGUCCCCGUCUACUAUGCGGACUUGAUAAUAGCCCUACCUCAAGUAGGGAUUCCACCCGCCUAAAGUUGGGGGUUGCUGCAGUAGCUCCUUGCAUCUAGGGAGCUACUGUUCACCAAAUAUGAAAAUAAUUUCCCCUUUUCUCAUUUUGGGACUUGGUCUUUACGCCGCAUGCGGCACUGUCAAAGCACCAUCAGCACCUUUUCAUCAGCACCAAAUGAAAAGGUAAGACCAUCUUCAGAGAUAAGAUCUCCAUUCAGGUCUGAAAUUUAUAGAAUCAAAAGUUAAAUUCUGAAAGUCCUAAAACCAUGUUCGGCAAAGAAACCAAAUACUUCAGAGAUAAGAUCUCCAUUCAGGUCUGAAAUUUAUAGAAUCAAAAGUUAAAUUCUGAAAGUCCUAAAACCAUGUUCGGCAAAGAAAUCUCUAUUUGGUCUGCAAUUUCUGACCUGCUUACCUGAAGGGAGAGUUUGAGUGAAGAAAUCUCUAUUUGGGACUGCAAUUUUUGGAUUGAAAUCUCCAUAUUCAGUGUAGAUGUACAAGUGUCUAUAUAUAUGUAUAUGUAACUAUAUAUAGAGUGCGAAUAGUAAAAAGAUAUUGUUUAAAAUAAGUGGAGAAAGAAUAGGAUGUAUUGUUGGAGCAAAGUUUUUAAAUGGGGUUCCCUGGAAAUAAGGAAUUCCCUUUUUUACAACAAAUCAGAGUAAAUAUAGGGAGUAUUGUUGGGGAUGCUCUUAGUGAAG